rnacentral:rRNA from 1 species
UACGGGGGGGGCAAGCGUUGUUCGGAAUUACUGGGCGUAAAGGGCUCGUAGGUGGCCCCGUAAGUCAGACGUGAAAUCCCUCGGCUCAACCGAGGAACUGCGUCUGAGACUGCGGGGCUUGAAUCCGGGAGAGGGAUGCGGAAUUCCAGGUGUAGCGGUGAAAUGCGUAGAUAUCUGGAGGAACACCGGUGGCGAAGGCGGCAUCCUGGACCGGUAUUGACACUGAGGAGCGAAAGCCAGGGGAGCAAACGGG